CAUGAAGCUGGAUUCGCUAGUAAUCGCGCAUCAGCCACGGCGCGGUGAAUACGUUCCCGGGCCUCGUACACACCGCCCGUCAAGCCAUGGAAGCCGGGAGUGCCUGAAGUACGCGACCGCAAGGAGCGUCCUAAGGUAAAACCGGUGACUGGGGCUAAGUCGUAACAAGGUAAC
rnacentral:rRNA from 1 species